AAAGCAAAACUCUUACAACUGAAUGAUCCAAGUAACAUAUCUUAACGCAAAACUUUUUUAGUACCUAAUAUUAGAAGUGUUCGGAUCCGAUACGGUUUGAAACGGUUCUUUAGCUCAGUUUGGGAUCUUGAAACCGUGCACAGCCGUACCUAACAUUAUGAGGAAAUAAGCAUUUCAGCGCUUCCAUCCACCUCCAAGCAUGGAGCCCUUCCAUGCAAGCAACGUACCUUGCAAGCAAGCAACGUACCUUGCCCUGAGUCUUUUUGGUCUUUGCCAUUAUCUCAGCCUUCUUAGGCUUCUUUUCAUUCUUCAUUCUCUUAAUUCUCUUCUUAAUUUAGCAGAGUGCAGCCUUUCUUGCAGCAUCACAUACUUCAGGCUUCUCAGCUCAUCUCUUCUAUAUAACUUCAAAGUAACACCAACUAUGGACCUUGAGUAAGGCUUUUUUUGCAGUGCAACUGCAACGUCUCUUCUUAACAGUUUCAGCAGUAACAUCCUCCGGGUACAUGGCUAUCCAAGAUAGCCUUCAGGGCUUCAGUUGGUUGCGCAAGUACCCCUUGCCUUUUGAAUUGGCAAAAAGGAAGGCCUGGGAAUCUAAGUGAACAAAUCUAAAAUGGAUCUGUUGCUUGUGACAACUGUUCUAUUGCUCAA
rnacentral:misc_RNA from 1 species